rnacentral:snRNA from 1 species
GUGCUUGCUUUAGCAGCAUAUAUACUAAAAUUGGAAUGAUACAGAGAUUAGCAAGGCCCUUGUGCAAGAAUGACAUGUAAAUUCAUGAAAUGUUCCAUAUUUUA